GUGGGGGAUAUUGCACAAUGGAGGAAACUCUGAUGCAGCAACGCCGCGUGAGGGAAGAAGGUUUUCGGAUUGUAAACCUCUGUCCUUGGUGAAGAUAAUGACGGUAGCCAAGGAGGAAGCUCCGGCUAACUACGUGCCAGCAGCCGCGGUAAUACGUAGGGAGCGAGCGUUGUCCGGAUUUACUGGGUGUAAAGGGUGCGUAGGCGGCAGAGCAAGUCAGGCGUGAAAACUAUGGGCUUAACCCAUAGCCUGCGUUUGAAACUGUUCAGCUUGAGUGAAGUAGAGGCAGAUGGAAUUCCCGGUGUAGCGGUGGAAUGCGUAGAGAUCGGGAGGAACACCAGUGGCGAAGGCGGUCUGCUGGGCUUUAACUGACGCUGAGGCACGAAAGUGUGGGGAGCAAACAGGAUUAGAUACCCCAGUAGUCC
rnacentral:rRNA from 1 species